CUGUCCUUGAAAUGAUUUCUGAAAAAAAGAAUGUGCCAUGUUUUCAGAAUAACAUACUUAUUUAAAUCACAUAUUUUAAGAACACCAUGCUUAUUCAAAUCAGAGUAACCCUAGCUCACCAAAUGAAACUUGCCUGCAUCCUCAAACCUUAGGUAAGGUUUUAAUCCUCAUCUUCCUACUCUUCAGAAGAAUGCCAAGAUAUAUUUGCAAACACAUUUUUCCUCUCCAUCUCAACACAUUUCACUGAGCCUUACAUAUACAUCCCCUAAGAGGUCCCCCAUUUUAUGGAUGCCACAUACACACAAAUAAUACUCUAUUCUCCCUCUAAACCACUUUUCGAUGAUUCCUUAUACACUGAGCAGUUGAUAUUAACUUCUGUUUUAUAGGAAAGAUAGAAUAGAAGCUACAAGAUCUGCAGUUAUGCUUCCUCUUACCCAAUUUACAGAUAAUAUAUGUUUGUGGCUGUGAUACACAGAAAAAUGGCAUCCAAGGAAAGUCCACCUCCUAAUCCUCAGAAGCUGUGAAUAUGUUACUUUAUAUGGCAAAAUGGACUCUGCAGAUGAGAUUAAGAGGGCCUAAUGCCUAGUUGUUGUACCUGCGACCACGGAGUCCCUCAGAUGCGAAACCUGUUGAUACUGACAGACACCCGCAUGUCUCUUGUCUCACCUUUGUCCAGUUUCUGCCUGCCUGACAAUCACUCUGCUGAUGGCAACCAAAUAUUGUCUUCUUCCUGGAGUCUCAGGGAAAAUGUGGCCUGGGGCAGACCCUAGUUCUUCAGAUGGAAGGUGAAACUUCAAUACAUCACCGCAACAGGAAACAAUCUCAAGAAUUUGUAUUUACACAUCCUGGACAAAGAAAGUGUAAAUAAGUCUGGAAUGCAGUCAUCAGUUCCCAGGUCCUGGAAGGCAGGAGUCUGGAGUCAGGCAGAAAGAGAAAGCAGGCACAGUGACAACCAGCAGUACACUUAAGGAUUAGAGUGCAGAUUUUUCUAAGCUCCCAGGCCAAUGCCUGAAUACCUUUAAAGAAAGCAAUAGGAAAACAGAAGCCCAGUCUGCUAGGUGGAAAAGAUGCUUUUAUGAUCCUGCCUCUGGCCCCGGGCUUGAGCCAUUGGGGUAGAACUGGAAACUGUGUCAAGGGUGACUGAUUCCUGCUUCUAGUAUGAAAAAAUUAAACUUGCAUUUGAAACGGAUGCUGAAGCAACAUAAAAUUUUAAGAAUUCACUCAAUGUUAUAUUAGUCAAAACUCAAGAGGAAUAAUAACAAGGUGACUUUAGAGAAAAAUAAGGACAGAACAAUAAUUCUAAUUGGAGAGAAGGAAGAGGAGAGAAGGAGCCAAGUCUAUCUGCCCUCAUGUAGCUCCUCACAGAGCAAAGAACCAGAAAGACCGCCUGAAUUCUCUACUCUCAAAGGGAAGUAGAGUGUUCAAUUUAGACUUUGCUUCUAUCAGCUUUGUAUUAGCCUGUUCUCAUGCUUCUAAUAAAGGCAUACCUGAGACUGAGUAAUUUAUAAAGGAAAGAAGUUUAAUUGACUCACAGUUCCACAUGGCUGGGGAAGCCUCACAAUCAUGGUGGAAGAGCAAGGGACGUCUUACAUGGCAGCAAAAAAGAGAGAAUGAGAGCCAAGUGAAAGUGGAAACCCCUUAUAAAACCAUCAGAUCUUGUGAGACUUAUUCACUACCACGAGAACAGUAUGGGGGAAACCACCCCAUGAUUCAGUUAUCUCCACCUAGGUCUCUUCCACAACAUGUGGAAAUUAUGAGAGCUACAAUUCAAGAUGAGAUUUGGGUGAGAACACAGCCAAAUAAUAUCAAGCUUUCAUGAUUACAGUUUUACUGUGAAUUUCAUUGAUGCAGUUGUCUUUUCUGUCUCAAACUAAUUUAGCAAUUUCAAUUUAUAUUUAAGAUACUGUGGGCAAAAUAAGACCAACAAAACCUAAAUAAAUGAAUUAAAGGCAA
rnacentral:lncRNA from 1 species